rnacentral:lncRNA from 1 species
UCAGUACUCCAUGUUUACUCAAUGAUUUCUUUUUACUAUUACUACUUCACAGGAGCAGAACCAGGACAACAUGGUACACUGUAACAGCAAUAUUGUAAAAUGACCACCUGUGAAUGACAGCUCAUCUAAGUAAUACAGAGAUCUAAGACAACUCCAAAGGAUUUGUGUUGAAAAAAUGCUAUCUCCCCUGAGAGAAAGAACUGAUGGGUUUCCCCUGGUAACAGAAGGAUGUCAUUUGUUUCUAGUGUCCCCCCCAACCCCACACCAUAUGCAUAAAAGAAGAACAACACUUACCUUUCAGCAAGGAAUUGGAAAUGGAAGGGAUAUCCAUCAACUGAGGAAAGGCUGAACAAAUUGUGGUACAUGUUGGUGAUGGAGUAUUAUUGUUCUAUAAGAAAUGAUAUACAAGAUGAUUUCAGAAAAAGCUGGAAAGAACUGCAGGAACUGAUACAGAGUGAAAUAAACAGAACCAGGAAAACA